rnacentral:lncRNA from 1 species
CUAUUCACAAAGAUUAAGGAGAUUUCGGGAUAUAAAAGCGAGAUUUAUGAGGCUGUUUUCGAAUAUCUUUGUCAAAGUGAGAUGCAAGCAAGAGUGUUUAUGACGAAGGAUCUUGAUAUGCGGCGUAGUUGGUUUGAACGCUACGUAACUACACAUUUUAGUGAUCUUGGUGGAUUUCUUUGAUAUGUCAUGCCAUCGUUAACUCAAAUUUUGUUAUCAUAUUAGUAUGGUUAUGUAUUAAACAUAUAUCUAUUAUCUUUUAGACUCAACCUUUCAACUAUGAUAGUGCUUAUGAUGUUAUCUGGUAUGGAUGUAACCAUACAUUUUAGAUGUGAUAUUAUUAUUUUUUGUGUGAUAAUGAUAUGCACAAUAUAUUUUGUUAUUUUGGGUGUGAUAUUUUGUGCAAUGCUAGUUUCAUUUCAUUCAAAUAUAUUCAAUUGUGGAAGUAAUUAAAUUUUUUAUUUUGAUUGUAUGUCUAAAAUAUGAUCAAAUUUGGUUAGGUAAGUUUUAAUAUAUUUUUUGUUUAAUUUGUAUAUUUAGAAAAUGAUGAAAAAUGAAUUUGUUCAAUGUUAAUAAUUUUUUAACUUUAGAAUUUUAUUUGUUGCAUUAUUAUAAUUUAUAUGCAAACAAAUAAUAUAAUUUUUUAAAAUUUUAUUUUAUAAUUAUACAUAUAUAUAAUUAUAUACAUAUAUAAUUAUAUUAAUUUUUAUUUAUUAUAAUUUAUUAUUAACUAUAAGUUACAAAAUAGACAAUAAUUUCACUUCGGAGGUAACUAUACCAGGGGUAGAGAUAUACACUUUUUACGUCAUCUACUUCCUACCAAACAAACAACAAAACUCACAAAACUGCACUUCCACAUUUAGAAACAAACAGCAGAAAUGAACUAAUUUUCACCCCAACUCCACUUCAACUCCAAGUCCACUUCCACCCCAAGUCUGCUUACGUCGAAACAAACAUGCCCUAAACAUCCUAUAUGCAUAAGUAACCAUAUAUUUGCACAUGAUCAACAAAGUACUAAGACAUAGGAAGAAGUUUAGUUGCUUCGGGAUGACACCCCCCCACCUUUUGGUGAUGCCGC